AAGGAGUCUAACAUAUCUGCGAGUAUUUGGGUGUCAAUCCCGAGAGAGCAGUGAAAGUGAACGUAGGAGCCACGCGCAAGCUGCAGCUUCGACCGAUCUGGAUCUUUAGCGAUGGAUUUGCGUAAGAGCAUAUAUGUUGGGACCCGAAAGAUGGUGAACUAUGCCUGAAUAGGGCGAAGCCAGAGGAAACUCUGGUGGAGGCUCGUAGCGAUUCUGACGUGCAAAUCGAUCGUCAAAUUUGGGUAUAGGGGCGAAAGACUAAUCGAACCAUCUAGUUGCUGGUUCCUGC
rnacentral:misc_RNA from 1 species